GUGAGUGGAAGCUCAUUGUAGAGGUCACGUGCUGAGUGUUCGUCACUCCUCCAAUCACCUCGGGGAAGGUCUGAGUCAAGAGCCAAUCGUUACCCUUGCAGGGUAUCACCUGAUUCGGGUGAGCGAGUGAACAGAAAAAUUGGGCCACCGCACGCAGUUUCAGCAGGAGAAGCUAGGUGGUGCUGGUUCACGCACCUCCUAGUGGAUGUGCUGCGUGCUGGCUUGGAAUCACUCGCGGCUGGCGAAUGAGUCCGAUGUAUGAGGUGGAGCAAUGCUCCAGAACCCAAUUCAGACUACUCUCCACUCAC
ensembl:ribozyme RNaseP_nuc Nuclear RNase P